GGUUGCCAGCGACAGCGGCUCGUGUGCGAAAGAUGGGGGAGCGUGUGUUUAGCUUCACGGGAAGCCCUCUCGUUGAUGCCACAGAAACAGAGAAUAAACAGGACAUCCAAAUUCUGGCCAGCAAGAUAAGCAGCACAGAUUUAACUGAACUGGAUGACCAGACAUUUAAAAGUAUUGAACAGCUAUCUCGUCAGCUCAAUGAAAUGUUGAAUACGACAAGAUGAAAGCAAAGAUGAC